rnacentral:lncRNA from 1 species
AUAUCUAAAUAAGUUCAGCGAUUUAACAUGUUAAACUAAAUAUGAUAUUGGUAAAAAUUACCCAAAAAUAUUUGAAACAGAAAUUCUGGACAGUGUCACUAUUUCGUCUUGUGACUCGGUUUUGAAGAUCUAUCCGGAUAAACUAGAUUGUAUAGUAUUAAUAAAUGUUGUAGAUCUAUGUCUUAGAGUUUCAUAACAUCUUGAAUCACCUCCAUAUCAAUUUUUAACAAAAGGUUAUGCUAAAAUUACUAAUAGUAGUACAUGGAGUAUUUCUAAAACUAGAAAUCUGGGCAGCACUUGUCCUGUACUUUCUUAUUCUUUUUCAGGUAAAUACCAGCAAAACUAGAUUUUGGUUCCUUCAUAACAGUUAUAUAUUUAUGAAAUACCUUUUCAGAAAGUUCUAGAUCACUUAAAACGGAGCUUUGUACAAAAAGAUAUGUAAAAAGCACUAAU